GUAACUCCAGCACUGCUCUGCCAUGUGACUGCUGGGUUGUAUAGGAGAUCCAUCCAUGCUGGCCUACUCCAAAGGACAUGUAAGCAAAUUAGCACUUUGAAGAAGGCUGCACGGGAGUGUCCAUAAUGCUGGCUUUCCUCCCAGUCAAGAAUCAAUCAUGGGACUCCUCCAGGAAAGCAUGUAUUGCCUGGCUGGAAGACUUGAGACACAUUCGGUUGACCAGUGUUCUUGGGCACCUACAAAUGCAUGUUUCAGUGCUUGGGUAGAAGUUAUCAUGCCUUAUUUUCCAAUUAAAAUAACACAAAUGUUAUUGUAGUUAUAGCCCAUUUCAUACAGUUUAAUGCUUAAUAAUUCUCUGCUUGCUUUCUUAUGUAAAACUUAUAUCUUCCCAUCUAGAUCAUAAACUCGCUGAGGGCAGGGAUCAUGGCUUUACUUCUUUUCAAUCCCCCACAGGACCAAACACAGGCUAGAGAAGCAUAAUACUGGGUGGUCAGCAGGGAAUGACCACAGGACAGUGUGGAGAUCUGGGUGGUUUCUGGGCCCCCGGCCCCAUCUAGCUGGUAUAAGACCUUCAGGAAGCACUUACAUUUCUGAGAUGUGAUUUCUUCAUCUUAAGAGUGCUCCACUUACCUCACUGGUUCGUUGAGAGGAUCAGGUAAGAUAAUGUAUAUGAAAGUAUUUUGUAAACCAAGAUUUGCUAGCUUUAAAGUGUGAGCAAUCAUCAGAAGAGGCAUUUAGUAAAAAUCUGAUUGAUUUGUAAUGAUAAAAUAUUGUCUUCCCUUCUUCCCUAUAUCCAGUUUUAGGGGUUUUAUUUCUCAGCAUUUAAUUUUAUCUGAGUGGCAAAGCCACUCCACAUCUUCCUGAUACCGUGUAGUGUGCAUUUCACCCUAUUGUUAAAGUUGGGUUGAAAUCUAAGCAAACCAACCAGAAAAGUCACCAAGCAUGCGAUGGUCACAUCUAUCACACAGGCCUCCUGGACACCAAUGCAUUUGUACCCCACUAGAGUUCCACGGCCUUUCUUGUGUCGCAUCUACCCACUCACACUGUACCCUAGGCAAGGAUUAUGUAUAUUUCUAUAUUCUAGCAUUUACUUGAUACAUGAGAGUGGCAGAUCAUCGCCCUAAGCCCAGGCCAGCUGAGAAGAAAAUGAAGAAGCUGCACCUUAUAUGAGAAAUUUUACAAAGGAAGACACUAUGAAACAGACUUUUAGAAUGGUUCAUUUAUUUAUAAUAUUUAUUUCCUACUUGUUCUUAGCAAAGAAGCAGUCUCUCUGUAGUACCAGAAUUCUAUACAAUUCAUGAGAAAACUCUCCUUUCAAACAUGGUUAUUCCUCAAAUACUUCUGUAAGAUAUAAAAUUUAGUCACAGGGUUUUUUUUCCUCACUUAACUCAUGAAAGCUGGAUGAGUCUAUUAUUUUCCAGGUUCGAUCACAGAGUAUCCACUGCAGGAUUAAGACACAGGGUUGAAGAAUUUUGUUGAUAUACUGAAUCCAAACCAAUUGUGAACUCCAUUAAUGAACAUAUUUAUGAUACCUUUUUUAUGGGCAUAUAAAGAGGAAUCUGUGUUUCAGAAUUAACUGAUCCAGAACAGUUUUUGGAAACCUUAUUUCUUUUCUUUUUAAAACUCAUUACGGAAAGUUUCAAACAUACCCAAAGGUAGAAGAAUAGUAUAAAUGACAGGUCCAUCAUUAUGGACCUGUCAUCCAGCUUCAACAUAGGGCCAAUCUUGUGAAUCCUCAUUUUUAAUCAAUAUUAGUAGCCAAUAAAAUUAAACUCACACUACAUGCUAAUUCAAAUCUCAUAACAUGUUUAUUUAUCUAUAGUUUCCUAAAAUAAUUGUAUUUUUGUCAGACACUCUUCUUUUUCAUUCUCGUAUCUCUCUCACUUCUCUUGAGGCUGAAGUGGGUCUAGCUUCUUACAUAGUCCAUACUAGAGGGAAAAUACUUAGCGAGAGGACAAGGUGGGACAUUUUAAAUUUAUUACUUUAUUAAUUUUUCUCUACCUGUGACAUUGUGCCUUGCUCCUUUUGACUAAAGUGUUGCAGGAAAAUAGUGAUAAUGGAAAAGGAGUCACUUCCAACAACAGAACUGAGUCUUUGUCCCUUUGCCCCAAUGAUAUAAUAGCGAGUGACAGAAUGAGGGGUCACUCCAUUCUUGAUCCUAACAAGAGAGAGAGCCAGCCCCAAGACAAAUAUUAUAACCCAAAUGUUUCAAGGCUGAGCAUUUCUUGUAUAUAUUAUUGAAUAUAUUAUUUUGAUAUAUCUUGAAUAUAUUAUUUAUUAGAUAUAUAUAAAAAUUUUGCAGAGUACAAAUAAUUUGCUGUAUGGAAUUAUUGUGGUAAGAUUCAUCAAAAUACAUACCAAUUUGUAGCCAAAUCAUACCCCCAGGGAAUCUAAAAUAAUAAUAAUUUUUUAAAAGAAGUAAGUUAGGGGUGCCUGGGUGGCUCAGUCGGUUAAGCAUCUGCCUUUGGCUCAGGUCAUGAUCCCAGGGUCCUGGGAUUGAGCCCCGCAUCUGGCUCCCUGCUUAGCGGGGAGUCUGUCCCUCUCCCUCUGCCUACCGCUCUGACUACUUGUGCUCGUUCUCUCUCUCCCAGUCAAAUAAAUAAAUAAAAUCUUUAAAAAAUAUAUUUAAAAACUAAAGAAGUAAGUUAGAAUGAUGAAGUUGGGUAGAAGUUAUAUGGCUUUAGCAAAACUUUGGUUUCUUCUUUUACAUUGUGCCCCAUGAUAAAACAGCAAAAUUCCUACCUAGAUGGUAACACUUGUACCAUUCGCUUAAUUUUAAGAUCCUCAGUUGCUCUUGGGAACAAGUAUACUGCUGUGGCAUGAAGUGGAAGGUAUAAUUUGAAGCCAGACUAGAGAAAAAAAGCUCCUUUUAGAAGUAAUGUAUUCAUGAAAAGGUAAAAGUAUCAAGAAAGGCUUAAUAAUUUCACCAAGUAAUCUAAAGCUAAAUUUCAUAUGCAAGUUCCUUACAGAACUAUAACAAACUUUGUAGAACUCAAGCCUUCCAUGGAAAAAGGUUUUAAGACUUCUUUUAAAACCAAUACCAAGGGAAUAGUCAGCCACAGAAUGUACUGCAGUCUUACUCACUGUUGUUUGCUUUAUCACUCAUGAGAACUUGCUUUGCAUUCAGUGAAGACUUAGAGAAAUGUAAGGAUGAAUACUUAUCAUAAUUCAUUCCCAUGUGGACUUUCAAAAUCCAGGAUAAUAGCUUUUCUUUUUCCUUCAAUAAUUAGACUCUGAAAGGAAUCUGGAAACUGCUACACACAGGAGUGGUGUUCAGUUGAAACAGGGCUCAUUUCCAGCUCUGCUUGAGUUCAUUGCUGUCUACGUGUGAUGUUGAAGGGAGUGAGGAAAAUAAACUUCCUUAAUUAUUACAUGGUGCCAAUGACCUUCCUCUACUUUUGAAGAAAUACAUUGCAUUUCUUCCUUAGUAUAUUCACAAUGAAUCUCUGAGAUACAGGGAUAUGGUUAUUCAGUCAGAAAAAAACAAAAAACAAAAACAUUUAAUUAUUUAAGAGACCUAAGCACUUCAUGUGAAAACUUUCAACUUAACAGAGGGGAGGGAAAUAACUCUUAAAAUAAGAUCAAGCCAGUAAACCUAAGGAAAGGGGAGCGGGGGGGGUGGGAGGGAAAACAACAACAACAACAACAAUGAAGCAUUGUAAGGAAUAAAAAAAAAAGAAUAAAAAUAAAUAUAUCUAUUACCAUAAAAAUUGAAUGAGUUGAAUUCCCCUUUCAAAAGACAAACUUUCAGAUUAUUUUGAAAGACAAAAUUAUGCUAUGUAUAAGAAAUUCACUUCAAACUAAGUGACAAAGAAAGUUUGAAAAUAAAUGAUUGGGUAGAUAUAUGUCAGACAAAUCCAAAACCAGGAGUGACAGUAUUAAUAUCAAAUUCAAGGCCAAAAACAUUAAAUAGGAACAAGAGGAUGGAAUGAUUAAGGGCACAGUGGCAGAGAUUGCUAGAUGCCUAUGCCAUCCAUGCCCAUCCCUUUUUCACCCUUGCUAACAAAACCUCAAUUUAAUUUGGCACAGCAAUGUGUACAGAUAAAAACGAAUUAAUUUUCCUAUCCUCUUUUACAACUGGGGUAGACAGUAAGUUGUAAGCAGAAGUUAGUGGGUGGGCCUGCAGAUGUCUAAUUAAGCUGGAAGCUACUCCUUUCUGCCUUCUUUUUCCACCUUCAUGACUGGAAUAUACAUGUGAUGGCUGGAGCUGCAGAAGCCAUUUUGCAACCAUGACUUGGAGAACAGACACCAGAUACUAAAAGGCAUCAGAGCAGGAAGACAAGUGGAGCUUGCAUUCCAGAUGACCAUGGAGCCUCUAUACCAGCCCUCAACUUUUUACCACCAGUGGCUGACGUGGGAAUCUGAAGAGAAUUGUAAUACGGGAUCAUAGAAAUGAAAGUAACCUGUGAAGUAGUUUCAUCUACCUCCUAUCCUUGAUGGACUCGUCUAUGGUGCUAUUAGGGGUACCUGGAGAGACUGGGUUGCUCAAGACUGAGCCCUCCAUUUACUUCAAGGGCAACUUCCUCCUGGUCACUCUCUAUCUUGUUAUAUGGAGGGGGCCACAAUAAGUGGGAUCUGCAUGGAGAAUAUACCCAGUGAAUGCCAAUGAUUUUCAGGGUUCUCCGCCUCCCUCACACAAUGGAAGAUGUGCAAGAGGUGCAGCAUUCUUCAUAUUAGAGCAAAGAUGGAGCCAGUUGAGAUGGAGAGUCUCUCAUGGAGAAACCGACUAAAAAGCAUCAAGGAGAAGAGAGGGGGCGAUCUGUUCUUCACAGCCGCAAAGCCAAGCUAGCUUUCUGCCUUGAUCUUUUAACAAACUUUAGCACACACCACUUCUUUUCAUUGGGAUGCAAUAUCGCUAAAGGGCAAGGUCACUUGAAAGAAAGCUGAACUUGGACUCAGACUCCAGGUUGAAGGAUUUAUAACACAGAACAAUUGUGGCCUGAUCACAAGUGAGUACUAGAGAAUGACUUCCCAACUUGAACACUAUAUUUCUAUUAAUAUAGCAAAAAAUUGAUUUUUUUUUGAGGUACAUCACACUGUGUUGACUCAUCAUCUACUAACAAUCUACAGGAGACUCUAAAUCUUCCUACGUGAGCAAUUGUAAGACACCUCACCCCCAAUCUAUACUUGUACAACUGAAUUUUGGAUCUUUGAGUACUUUACACUUGUCCCUAUUAAACUUUAUAUUGUUA